rnacentral:rRNA from 1 species
AUACGGAGGGGGUUAGCGUUGUUCGGAAUUACUGGGCGUAAAGCGUACGUAGGCGGAUUGGUAAGUUAGAGGUGAAAUCCCGGGGCUCAACCCCGGAACUGCCUUUAAUACUGCCAGUCUUGAGUUCGAGAGAGGUGAGUGGAAUUCCGAGUGUAGAGGUGAAAUUCGUAGAUAUUCGGAGGAACACCAGUGGCGAAGGCGGCUCACUGGCUCGAUACUGACGCUGAGGUACGAAAGUGUGGGGAGCAAACAGGAUUAGAAACCCGAGUAGUCC